rnacentral:rRNA from 1 species
AUUGAACGCUGGCGGCAGGCCUAACACAUGCAAGUCGAACGAGCGGCGGACGGGUGAGUAAUGUAUGGGGAUCUGCCCGAUAGAGGGGGAUAACUACUGGAAACGGUGGCUAAUAGCGCAUACUAUCGGAUGAACCCAUAUGGGCUUAGCUAGUAGGUGGGGUAAAGGCUCACCGAGGCGACGAUCUCUAGCGGGUCUGAGAGGAUGACGAGCCACCCUGGCACUGAGACACGGCCCCGACUCCUCCGGUAGGCAGCAGUGGUGAAUAUUGCACAAUGGGCGCAAGCCUGAUGCAGCCAUGCCGCGUGUAUGAAGAAGGCCUUCGGUUUUUAAAGUACUUUCAGCGGGGAUGCGUUACCCGCAGAAGAAGCACCGGCUAACUCCGUGCCAGCAGCCGCGGUAAUAC